AUUGAACGCUGGCGGCAGGCCUAACACAUGCAAGUCGAACGGUAACAGAAAGCAGCUUGCUGCUUUGCUGACGAGUGGCGGACGGGUGAGUAAUGUCUGGGAAACUGCCUGAUGGAGGGGGAUAACUACUGGAAACGGUAGCUAAUACCGCAUAACGUCGCAAGACCAAAGAGGGGGACCUUCGGGCCUCUUGCCAUCGGAUGUGCCCAGGUGGGAUUAGCUAGUAGGUGGGGUAACGGCGCACCUAGGCGACGAUCCCUAGCUGGUCUGAGAGGAUGACCAGCCACACUGGAACAGAGGCACGGGCCAGACUCCUACGGGAGGCAGCAGUGGGGAAUAUUGCACAAUGGGCGCAAGCCUGAUGCAGCCAUGCCGCGUGUAUGAAGAAGGCCUUCGGGUUGUAAAGUACUUUCAGCGAGGAGGAAGGUGUUGUGGUUAAUAACCGCAGCAAUUGACGUUACUCGCAGAAGAAGCACCGGCUAACUCCGUGCCAGCAGCCGCAGUAA
rnacentral:rRNA from 1 species